ACCGCCACAUUUUCAUCACUGUCUCAGAUGAAGGCCGGCCACCAAUCGGUACCGAUUCCAUCCACGACGGGGCCGGAUCCCGAGCAUCGACAAGCUCGGCAAGUCCAGAGUUGCUUUGCUUGCCCUCACCAUAACCUGUGUGUUCUGUUGCUUCCACGCUACCUGUUCUUCUCGUGCUGCGAUUUCGUGCUGAGUCUCGUGCGAGUAGUGCCACCACAACAGUCGCUUGAGGACAUUUCGGUGUUCAGAGGAGGCUUGAAGAGCGGUUCUGAUCAGAGUGGAGGAGUACUUUGUUAAGCUGUGAGAGUGGGUGUGGUGGGUGGAGCGGACAGCAGCGUGAGUGCAAGUGUUGGAGGUUUCCAGCGUCAAGGCCCUGACGGGAUCUGAAGCGAUACGGCUAUAAUGUCCAUACCUGGACGGACAGCAGUUUGAUGAUGGCUUUGUGGCAGUUUAGUAAGCAUGAGCACGAGAUUGCAUUGGAUCUCAAGUGGAAUGUGGUCUGCAACGAAGUUGUGUGUUUUGGAUUGAUCCCACAGGAGUUGCUUUUUUGAAGGUUUGGGAAGUGGAUCUAGACAGUGGGAUAUUGGUAUUCAAUCGAUGCUAAAAUUGAUGGUUAUUGUGGAAGCUUUUGAUUUUAGGAAUUGAAAGAGCAUAUAUGUGUAGGAUACUUCUUGGUUUUAGUUUGUGAGAAGUAGUUUUUAAAGGGUGGUUAAUUUGUGGGCAGAAAAUGUUUUGAAAAUGAUGCAAUUGGAUACAAUUAUUGGAAGUUAGAUCUUCAUGAUGAAA